rnacentral:tRNA from 1 species
GCGGGUGUGGCGGAAUUGGCAGACGCACUAGACUUAGGAUCUAGCGCCNUACGGCGUGGGGGUUCNACUCCCUUCACCCGCA